rnacentral:rRNA from 1 species
AUUGAACGCUGGCGGCAUGCUUUACACAUGCAAGUCGAACGGCAGCACGGGUGCUUGCACCUGGUGGCGAGUGGCGGACGGGUGAGUAAUACAUCGGAACGUGCCCGAUCGUGGGGGAUAACGCAGCGAAAGCUGUGCUAAUACCGCAUACGAUCUACGGAUGAAAGCGGGGGAUCGCAAGACCUCGCGCGGACGGAGCGGCCGAUGGCAGAUUAGGUAGUUGGUGGGAUAAAAGCUUACCAAGCCGACGAUCUGUAGCUGGUCUGAGAGGACGACCAGCCACACUGGGACUGAGACACGGCCCAGACUCCUACGGGAGGCAGCAGUGGGGAAUUUUGGACAAUGGGGGAAACCCUGAUCCAGCCAUGCCGCGUGCAGGAUGAAGGCCUUCGGGUUGUAAACUGCUUUUGUACGGAACGAAAAGGUCCUUUCUAAUAAAGAGGGCUCAUGACGGUACCGUAAGAAUAAGCACCGGCUAACUACGUG